UCGACUUUCGUCAUCAUCAGUGCUCACCUGAAAGUGGAUGUCUCAAUUAUGGACAUUCGUGUUUUGGUGGGGUUGCCAAAAGGCAUAACGAUCAAAAUGAGUAUUCUGAAGGUGAGAAAUAUUUCCAAAAUGAUGAAAACGUGGAAUCAACUGAUAACCAGAGAUUUCUGUACCAGUCUGAACAACCUCAGAUUUUUUUAGAACCAAGAUAUGCGGAGCAACUGAGAAUAUUCAGACAAUGGUUGCAACAUCAUAGAAUGGCCUUUCCGGCGAAUUAGUUCAAGAAUAAUGAGAUAAGAUGAUCACCCUUGAAGAUCCCUGUAUUUUAGAGUUUGAUGUCAGUCGAUGAUUGCUGCUUCUAUCGAUAAAAAUAAAUGUUUUUUCCAUCUGAA